AGGUGGUUUGUUAAGUCAGAUGUGAAAGCCCCGGGGCUCAACCUCGGAAUUGCAUUUGAAACUGGCAGACUAGAGUACUGUAGAGGGGGUAGAAUUUCAGGUGUAGCGGUGAAAUGCGUAGAGAUCUGAAGGAAUACCGGUGGCGAAGGCGGCCCCCUGGACAGAUACUGACACUCAGAUGCGAAAGCGUGGGGAGCAAACAGGAUUAGAUACCCUGUAG
rnacentral:rRNA from 1 species